GAAAUUCCAAUCGAACCCGGAGAUAGCUGGUUCUCCCCGAAAUAGCUUUAGGGCUAGCGUCGGAAAGAACCUUAGUGAAGGUAGAGCACUGAAUGUGUGAUGGCCCCAUCCCGGGGUACUGAAUACAAUCAAACUGCGAAUGUCAUUAAGGAUGUCCGGCAGUCAGACUGUGAGUGAUAAGGUCCAUGGUCAAGAGGGAAACAGCCCAGACCGCCAGUUAAGGUCCCAAAAUACAGGCUAAGUGGAAAAGGAUGUGGGGAUGCCCAGACAACUAGGAGGUUGGCUCAGAAGCAGCCAUCCUUUAAAGAGUGCGUAACAGCUCACUAGUCGAGUGACCCUGCGCCGAAAAUGUACCGGGGCUAAGCCUGAUACCGAAACUGCGGAUUGUAGGAAACUAUAGUGGUAGGGGAGCGUUGUAUACGAGUGGAAGCCGUACCGUGAGGAGCGGUGGAUUGUAUAGAAGUGAGAAUGCCGGUGUGAGUAGCGAGAUGUAGGUGAGAAUCCUACACACCGAAAGCCCAAGGAUUCCAGGGGAAGGUUCGUCCGCCCUGGGUAAGUCGGGACCUAACGCGAGGCCGAAAGGCGUAGUGGAUGGAAAGCAGGCGAAAGAUUCCUGCACCCGUAUAUGGAGCGAAGGAGUGACGGAGACGGAUAGUGUGACCCUCUUAAUGGAUUGAGGGCGAAGCGAAGCGGCUGGUUACCAGGCAAAUCCGGUAACCAUAAGGCUAGAGCGUGAUAGGUAAGCGAAAUCUUAGGAGAGUAGCGAAGCACAUGAUGACGGCUUCCAGGAAAAGCUUCUGGCAAUGCAUAUGCGGCCCGUACCAAAACCGACACAGGUGGGCAGGGAGAGAAUCCCGAGGUGAGCGAGAGAACUGUUGCCAAGGAACUCGGCAAAAUGACUCCGUAAGUUAGCGAGAAGGAGUGCUUAAGCAAUUAAGCCGCAGUGAAGAGGCCCAAGCGACUGUUUAACUAAAACACAGCUCUCUGCGAAGUCGCAAGACGAAGUAUAGGGGGUGACACCUGCCCGGUGCUGGAAGGUUAAGAGGAUCUGUUAAGAGCGAUCUGAAGCAGUGAUCCGAAGCCCCAGUGAACGGCGGCCGUAACUAUAACGGUCCUAAGGUAGCGAAAUUCCUUGUCAGGUAAGUUCUGACCCGCACGAAAGGUGUAACGAUUUGGGCGCUGUCUCGGCAGCAGACUCGGUGAAAUCUUAGUACCUGUGAAAAUGCAGGUUACCCGCAACUAGACGGAAAGACCCCAUGGAGCUUUACUGCAGCCUGAUAUUGAAUUCUGGUCAUACAUGUACAGGAUAGGUGGGAGACAAAGAGACGUGCACGCCAGUGUACGAGGAGUCGACGUUGGGAUACCACUCUUGUGUGACCGGGGUUCUAACCUGGUAUCGAAAACAGGUACGGGGAGAGUGUCAGGUGGGCAGUUUGACUGGGGCGGUCGCCUCCCAAAGAGUAACGGAGGCGCCCAAAGGUACGCUCAGAUUGGAUGGAAACCAAUCGUCGAGUGCAAUUGCAGAAGCGUGCUUGACUGUGAGACUUACAAGUCGAACAGGGACGAAAGUCGGGAAUAGUGAUCCGGCGGUACCGAAUGGAAGGGCCGUCGCUCAACGGAUAAAAGCUACCCUGGGGAUAACAGGCUGAUCUCGCCCAAGAGUUCACAUCGACGGCGAGGUUUGGCACCUCGAUGUCGGCUCAUCGCAUCCUGGAGGUGAAUUCGCUUCCAAGGGUUGGGCUGUCCGCCCAUUAAAGCGGUACGCGAGCUGGGUUCAGAACGUCGUGAGACAGUUCGGUCCCUAUCUGUUGUGGGCGAAGGAGAUCUGCGGAGAGCUGUCCUCAGUACGAGAGGACCGGGAUGGACCUACCGCUGGUGCACCGGUUGUUCCGCCAGGGGCAUAGCCGGGUAGCUAAGUAGGGAAAGGAUAAGCGCUGAAAGCAUCUAAGCACGAAGCCUACUCCAAGAUGAGAUCUCCCAUUCGCAAGAAGUAAGACCCCUUAAAGACGAUAAGGUAGAUAGGCCAGAGAUGGAAGUGCAGUGAUGUACGGAGUUGACUGGUACUAAUCGGUCGAGGACUUAAUCAG
rnacentral:rRNA from 1 species